AUGCUGUCGAUCGGGACGUUCGGGGCAGUCGAUGGCCGCAGGGGCGAGCUGCAGAGGAUGCAGGCGGAGCUCACAUUGCUCAUGAGCGCCAAGGCCAUGGCCACAGCAGCGGCGGAGGGAGAGGACGACAAGAGGCGUCACCGGACGCCCAAGAGGUCCCCCUGUGGAGGGAUGGUCAAGCACAGGUCCUUCAGGAAGUUCUUGUCAGCUGCCUUCAGCAACUUCCUGCCCAAACCAAUCUUCAGGGGAACAACACCUGGACCGACACCCGCUCAGAUACCCUGUCCAUCACCCCAUGACGACAUACCCAGCGAUAACUGGGCGAUGUCAGAGGCGACGAUCAAGAGCUACCGAACGGCGCAUUUGCCUUGGAGAGGCAAAGCGAUGGGUGAGGAACAUGGGAGCAAAUGGAUCAGAACAGAUUCAGAGUAUAUCGUGCUGGAGAUCUGA
rnacentral:rRNA from 1 species